rnacentral:rRNA from 1 species
UAAAGCAGCAUGUUGGAAUUGCUGCCUAAGACCAGAUACUGAAGCUAAGCAGGGUUGAGCCUAGUUAGUACAUGGAUGGUUGAUCACAUGGAAAAACUAGGUUGCUGUUGGAA